rnacentral:misc_RNA from 1 species
GAUGAAGAACGCAGCGAAAUGCGAUAAGUAAUGUGAAUUGCAGAAUUCAGUGAAUCAUCGAAUCUUUGAACGCACAUUGCGCCCGCCAGUAUUCUGGCGGGCAUGCCUGUCCGAGCGUCAUUUCAACCCUCGAACCCCUCCGGGGGGUCGGCGUUGGGGAUCGGCCCUUUACGGGGCCGGCCCCGAAAUACAGUGGCGGUCUCGCCGCAGCCUCUCCUGCGCAGUAGUUUGCACACUCGCAUCGGGAGCGCGGCGCGUCCACAGCCGCUAAACACCCCAAACUUCUGAAAUGUUGACCUCGGAUCAGGUAGGAAUACCCGCUGAACUUAAGCAUAUCAAUAAGCGGAGGA